rnacentral:misc_RNA from 1 species
GAUGAAGAACGUAGCGAAAUGCGAUAAGUAAUGUGAAUUGCAGAAUUCAGUGAAUCAUCGAAUCUUUGAACGCACAUUGCGCCCAUUAGUAUUCUAGUGGGCAUGCCUGUUCGAGCGUCAUUUCAACCCUUAAGCCUAGCUUAGUAUUGGGAAUCGACUUUACUGUCGUUCCUCAAAUUCAACGGCGGAUUUAUAGCAAUCUCUGAACGUAGUAAUUUUUUUCCUCGUUUUUGAAAUACUAUAAACCUCAGCCGCUAAACCCCCAAUUUUUCUAUGGUUGACCUCGGAUCAGGUAGGAAUACCCGCUGAACUUAAGCAUAUCAAUAGCGGAGGA